rnacentral:rRNA from 1 species
UACGUAGGGUGCGAGCGUUGCCCGGAUUUAUUGGGCGUAAAGAGCGUGUAGGCGGCUUUACAGGUCCGUUGUGAAAACUCGAGGCUCAACCUCGAGACGCCGGUGGAAACCGUAAAGCUAGAGUCCGGAAGAGGAGAGUGGAAUUCCUGGUGUAGCGGUGAAAUGCGCAGAUAUCAGGAGGAACACCCGUGGCGAAAGCGGCUCUCUGGGACGGUACUGACGCUGAGACGCGAAAGCGUGGGGAGCAAACAGG